CGCGUAGGUGGUAGUGCAAGUCUGAGGUGGAAUCUUAGGGCUUAACCCUAAAAUUGCCUUGGAAACUGCAUUACUUGAGUCAGUGAGGGGAGGGUAGAAUUCCUGGUGUAGCGGUGAAAUGCGUAGAUAUCAGGAGGAAGGCCGGUGGCGAAGGCGGCCCUCUGGCGCUGAACUGACACUGAGGCGCGAAAGCGUGGGGAGCAAACAGGAUUAGAUACCCUGGUAGUCCACGCCCUAAACGGUGGGUACUAGGUGUAGGGCUCGUAAGGGUUCUGUGCCGAAGCGAAAGCAUUAAGUACCCCGCUGGGGAGUACGGCCGCAAGGUUGAA
rnacentral:rRNA from 1 species